ACGGGAGGCAGCAGUGGGGAAUAUUGGGCAAUGGGCGAAAGCCUGACCCAGCAAUGCCGCGUGAAGGAAGAAGGUCUUCGGAUUGUAAACUUCUUUUAUGAGGGACGAAGGAUUUUACGGUACCUCAUGAAUAAGCCACGGCUAACUACGUGCCAGCAGCCGCGGUAAUACGUAGGUUGCAAGCGUUAUCCGGAUUUACUGGGUGUAAAGGGCGCGUAGGCGGGGAAGCAAGUCAGAUGUGAAAUCCAUGUGCUCAACCCAUGAACUGCAUUUGAAACUGUUUCUCUUGAGUGCUGGAGAGGUAGAUGGAAUUCCUAGUGUAGCGGUGAAAUGCGUAGAUAUUAGGAAGAACACCAGUGGCGAAGGCGAUCUACUGGACAGUAACUGACGCUGAGGCGCGAAAGCGUGGGGAGCAAACAGGAUUAGAUACCCUGGUA
rnacentral:rRNA from 1 species